UGAGCAACCUGCCCCUGGCUCUGGGAUAACUCCGGGAAACCGGAGCUAAUACCGGAUACGAGACCGAUUGGCAUCUUUACGGUCUGGAAAGUUUUUCGGCCAGGGAUGGGCUCGCGGCCUAUCAGCUUGUUGGUGGGGUAACGGCCCACCAAGGCGACGACGGGUAGCCGGCCUGAGAGGGCGACCGGCCACACUGGAACUGAGACACGGUCCAGACUCCGUACGGGAGGCA
rnacentral:rRNA from 1 species